rnacentral:tRNA from 1 species
GGGGUUGGGGCUCAGUGAUAGAGCGCUUGUCUCAUACGCAUGAGGCCCUGGGUUCGAUCCUCAGCACCA